GACGAACGCUGGCGGCGUGCUUAACACAUGCCAGUCGAACGGAAAGGCCCUGCUUUUGUGGGGUGCUCGAGUGGCGAACGGGUGAGUAACACGUGAGUAACCUGCCCUUUACUUUGGGAUAACUUCAGGAAACUGGGGCUAAUACCGGAUAGGAGCUCCUGCUGCAUGGUGGGGGUUGGAAAGUUUCGGCGGUUGGGGAUGGACUCGCGGCUUAUCAGCUUGUUGGUGGGGUAGUGGCUUACCAAGGCUUUGACGGGUAGCCGGCCUGAGAGGGUGACCGGCCACAUUGGGACUGAGAUACGGCCCAGACUCCUACGGGAGGCAGCAGUGGGGAAUAUUGCACAAUGGGCGGAAGCCUGAUGCAGCAACGCCGCGUGCGGGAUGACGGCCUUCGGGUUGUAACCCGCUUUCGCCUGUGACGAAGCGUGAGUGACGGUAAUGGGUAAAGAAGCACCGGCUAACUACGUG
rnacentral:rRNA from 1 species